CCCACCUGCCUGCGCUUGGUCAAUAUCCCUCCAAACCUGUCCUAUCCAUGUACCUGUCUGACUGUUUCUUAAACGUUGCGAUAGUCGCAGCUUCAACUACAUCUUCUGGCAGUUUGUUCCAUACACCCACCACU